rnacentral:rRNA from 1 species
AUUGAACGCUGGCGGCAUGCCUUACACAUGCAAGUCGAACGGCAGCACGGGAGCAAUCCUGGUGGCGAGUGGCGAACGGGUGAGUAAAGUAUCGGAACGUGCCCAGUCGUGGGGGAUAACGUAGCGAAAGUUACGCUAAUACCGCAUACGAUCUAUGGAUGAAAGCGGGGGAUCGCAAGACCUCGCGCGAUUGGAGCGGCCGAAAUCAGAUUAGGAAGUUGGUGAGGUAAAGGCACAGCAAGCCGACGAUCUGUAGCUGGUCUGAGAGGUCGACCAGCCACACUGGGACUGAGACACGGCCCAGACUCCUACGGGAGGCAGCAGUGGGGAAUUUUGGACAAUGGGCGAAAGCCUGAUCCAGCCAUGCCGCGUGCAGGAUGAAGGCCUUCGGGUUGUAAACUGCUUUUGUAUGGAACGAAAAGGUUUGGCCUAAUAAGCUGAGCUCAUGACGGUACCGUAAGAAUAAGCACCGGCUAACUACGUGCCAGCCGCCGCCGUAA